rfam:Monodelphis domestica chromosome 8, whole genome shotgun sequence.
CCAAAGUAUAGUCCUCUCCAGUUCUCUGCGGUCUGUGACCCCUGUCAGCUGCUGCUAAGAGCUGGAGAAGUGGAAUCCCACGUAGAAACUCCAGUGUGGUUCUAGUAUAGACACUGGGCAUGCUCAGUA